GUCGCUUAUCGAAAUCGCCUAACCGUAUGACCCACUGCCUUCUAAGCAGUCGGUCGAUGGUUCGAAUCCAUCAGGGGGCG
rnacentral:tRNA from 1 species